UAUGACAUAAAGUGAUAAUAUAAUUGAGACUCACAAAGUGCCAUACGAAAAUAUCAGAAAUUCUAUCCAGAUUGGCGCGAGUCGUCAUUGAAUUCAGGAACAGCUUCGGUCCUGUCAUUCAAUACCAGAUUGGCUCAACGAUCUCUAGAAUUAUGAUAUACUUAAAGUGAUAAUAUAAUUUGAGACCCACAAAGUACCAUACGAAAAUAUCAGAAAUUCUAUCCAGAUUGGCGCGAGUCGUCAUUGAAUUCAAGAACAGCUUCGGUCCUGUCAUUCAAUACCAGAUUGGCUCAACGAUCUCUAGAAUUAUGAUAUAAAGUGACGAUACAAUGUGUGACCCAAAAAUUACCACAAGGAUGUCAGAAAUUCUAUCCAGAUUGGCGCGAGUCGUCAUUGAAUUCAAGAUCAGCUUCGAACCUGUCAUUCAAUACCAGAUUGGCUCAACGAUCUCUAGAAUUAGACAUAAAAGUGACGAUACAAUGUGUGACCCAAAAAUUACCACAUGGGUGUUAGAAAUUCUAUCCAGAUUGGCGCGAGUCGUCAUUAAAUUCAAGAACCGCUUCGGUCCUGUCAUUCAAUGCCAUAUUGGCUCAACGAUCUCUAGAAUUAGACAUAAAAAUGACGAUACAAUGUGUGACCCAAAAAUUACCACAUGGGUGUUAGAAAUUCUAUCCAGAUUGGCGCGAGUCGUCAUUAAAUUCAAGAACAGCUUCGAUUCUGUCAUUCAAUGCCAGAUUGGCUCAACGAUCUCUAGAAUUAGACAUAAAAGUGACGAUACAAUGUGUGACCCAAAAAUUACCACAUGGGUGUCAGAAAUUCUGUCCAAAUUGGCGUGAGUCGUAAUUAGAUUCAAGGACAGCAAAUUGUAAUAACAUAAUGAAUUUGACUUACAUGAUAUAAUUCCCAUAGCGGAAGCUUUUUCCUAAUAGUGUGAUCAAUUAAUUUAACUAUUUAUAAAAGAAUCAAAAUCACUCUCUAGCUCACUUGUCAUGCCCGGUCAAGGCAAAAAUCUAUACUGAAUUACAUUACACAUUACACAGAUUGUGCCUCGUAUGCAUUGAGGAAUGUGGGCUAUACUAUACCAUAUAUUAUAUCAAUCAGGUAUCCUCUGACUCGUGGGAAACUUUUUAAUAAACAACUAGUUUCAGUUACUGACUUCGCUUGAUAAAUUAUUUUUAUUGCAGGGUACAGGUUUACCUACAAUACAUUAUGAAGAAGGUGAACAAGUUUUCACUUUUGAUUCAUCAUGCAGAAUCAAUGCUUUGCGUUUACUCAAAUAUUGUUAUGUUUUUGUUCAACUGUAAUGAUGAUGGUGAUUAUAACGUUCGACUUAUUGUUCGAUUCAAAGCAGGUUGAAAUAAGGUUAAUAUUAUUUAAAAUAUCAGUAUUGAAACGUUGCACUCCUUGUUCAUUACAACUUAGGUACCUACCUAAUGUACAACUAGAUCGUGAUUAUAUAAUCAUCACAACCAGUAUGCAGGUAUAUUCAUGAUAUUCCUCUUCGUAAGAUUAUCGUUUAUAUUCAAUGUACAUAAUUUAGUCAGAAAAAAAAUGUAUGUAGAGAAUCGAACUUGUAACAUAUACCUACAUUGAACAUCAAACUCUUAACCACUGAGCCAUCGUCGUACUGCGUCAUCGGAAAUAGGUGUAAGUUUACGUCUGUGUAAUAAAUACCUAAUUAAUAUGAAUAUGCGGUGUAUCAUUUUACAAAGUGUUGCGACUAACUCGUUUGUUCGUGAGAAUAGCAACUAAGCAUUUUAGCGAUGACUACGCGUCCAAAAUGCAAAAAUUUGAAAUAUGCAAUGCAUAAUCCGUUAUUGUCUUGCAUUUAAGGUUUUAUUUUGCAUAAUUCAGUUUUGCACGGAUUUGUAUUGUUUUUCUAUAAAAUAGGAAAAAUCAUUAAACUUUACUCAUUCCUUUGAUCGAUUCCCAAUUGUCCACAAUUGUGGUAUCCUCAUCCGUGUUAUUUUCAUCUUCAGUGCUUUUCUUCAAGAAAGUUUGUUAAAAUGUUAGUAAGUAUUUACAUUUACUUUUAGUUUAUGUAUUAUGUUGGAGUUUUUUACAUAAUAAAUUUACAUAACAUUUUAAAUACCAUGUACCUAACCGAUUUCUUAAUUUUCAGGUCUAACUACGAAUAUUCAUCCGGUUCGGACUCCCAACUGCCGCUGGCGCCUACGUCUGCGCUAAAAGUGUUGAAAAAGAAGCCUGCGAGCAAGAGGAAGCCGGCGGAGUCGACCCCAACGCCUACUAGUUCUAAAAAGAAGUCGCGUUCGAGCGCCAACGACGAGGCAGGCGCGACCGCAACGUAUUCAUCGAGUACUGGCCCUGGAGGACUCUUCGGGUUUGAGACGGGAGCAACUUCGGGGACGUCGAAGUCUGCAGUGCUGCAGACUUAUUUGACCAGCCGCGUCCCCAACGGUCGAGUGCGCCGGGAGCUCGUCAACCAGUCUGGCGAGUACUAUAUAGAGUUCCGGGUGUAUAACACCGAGAAAGCUGUUGCCUCUAAACCAGAUCAGCGGUGGAAAGAGGCUGAAGUUACUCUUAAAGUAAAGUUAGAUCGGGGGACUCCGCAGUGGGAGAAAAUGCAAUCGUUUAUGCAGCGGAUUCAUAAUUUAUUUGAAGAUUGUGAGCCCGUCUUCAUAAGCGAAUAGUAAUAAGUACAGCUACUACUCAGGUACUUAUUACAACCUUUUCUCUCACUGCUGCUGUUCAUUGAUAUAACUUCACUUUAAGAUACUUAGUAGUUUUUUUCCACUGAAUUUUCAACCAAAUACCUAUGAAAUUAUAAUUGUAAAUCAUACAUUCAUUGUGUAUAUUGCAAUUUUAUGUCGUUAGCGUAUGAAAGGCGAGGCAUUUUCUUUGUAUAUUUAAAGUAUACUUAUCAAAAAUGGUGUUUUGUACAGUUUGUAAAGUCUCUGUAGAUCGUGUUCAUUGGAUGGGGCAUUUACGAAGCACUAACCAUAAAAAUAAAAAUAUUUCUCCUUUUAGCGACGGGAUUGAAUUAAUUGAGUCCGCAUUUCGCAACCGAAUAGCUUCAUACAGAAUAUUAUCACCAGAUUUGGAUGGUCAUAAUUCUUUAGAUCGGUUUCUUGAUGAUAUAAAAAAUAAAAUCAAAACAUUAAUUGAUUUGUCUCUCAAGGAAAAUGACUGUAUAAAACUCAAUUUUGAACAUUUUGCUGUUUUUCUUUUAGUAAAAAAUGAUUCUCAGGAAAUAAAGUCUUUUGGAACUAAAAAUUAUACUCUCUAUAAAAAUUAUGACUUUGAUAGUUUAAUGAACAAAGUGAAAAUUAGUUUGAUGAGAAAAAAAUGUGAAUUUCAAGAACGUGAUAGUGGUUGGACCUUCUUACAUAAUUCCCAUUUAGAAUUGAAUAUUAAUAAAUAUCAACCAUUAAGAGGGUCAGGUCACAUUGAUUUGCCUGCACCAAUCAAAGCCAGAAAAGCGUGUGUAAACAUAAAAAACGAAGACAGUUUUUGCUUUUUGUGGUCAGUUACAGCUGCUUUAUACCCAGUUAAAUCUCAUCCUGAUAGAGUAUCGUCAUAUCCUAAUUUCAAAGACGUUUUAAAUGUAGAGGAUAUAUCGUUUCCAGUUACUUUUUCAGACAUAGCUAAAUUUGAAAUUAACAACCCUCAAAUAUGUAUUUUUGUUUACGGUUUAAAAGAUAAUAAUACAGUUAUCGGCCCUCUUUACAAAUCUGAACCAUUAAAUAAAAAAGUAAUUCAUCUACUGUACCUACAGGAAGGUAAUAUGUCACAUUACUGUUUAAUCAAGGAUUUACCGCGACUAGUUAGAAGUCAAAUUUCUAAACAUCAUGGUAAGUUGUAUUUUUGCGAACAUUGUUUGUUAUUUUUCAACUCGACCGAUCAGUUAAGUUCUCAUAGUUGUGGAGGUGUAGCUACUAAAUUACCCCCAAAAGGGUCAUUUAUAGAGUUCAAAAAUUAUAACAGAAAACAAAAUGUUCCUUUUGUUGUUUAUGCAGAUUUUGAGUCAAUGCUCGUACCCUACGAGACUUGUGAAAAUGAUCCUAUCAAGUCAAGCACAGUGACUCAUCAGCAGCACGUGCCCGUAGCUUUUGCUUAUCACCUUGUUUGUACUGUAGAUGAACGAUAUAAUCACAUUACAUCGUACCGAGGACAAGAUUGUGUUGACAAAUUUGUUGAUUCAAUUUGCAACGAUGCAAAAAGGAUAAGCGCAGUAUUAAGUAAUAGUGUACCUAUGGUUUUUACAGAAAGUGAUGCGUUAAACUUUGAAAAUGACGAAACUUGUCACAUAUGCGAGCGUUUAUUGGUUAUGGAUAAAGUUAGAGACCAUUGUCACAUAACUGGUAAAUACCGCGGUGCGGCUCACAGUCAAUGUAAUUUGAACUUUCAAGUGCCCAAAUUCUUACCUGUUUUCUUUCAUAAUCUUUCAGGUUAUGACUGUCAUCUUUUUAUUAAGGAGCUUGCUAAAGUUCCUGGACCCAUCAAGGUCAUACCUAAAACCAAAGAAAAUUAUAUUUCUUUCACGAAAUUUGUGUCUAUAUCCGAUACCGAUAGCUUUCAGAUACGAUUUGUAGAUUCCUUUAAGUUUUUGGGAACUAGCUUAGAAAAACUAACCCCGACUUUAAAAAACGAUGAAUUUAGAUACUUAAAAUCUUACUAUCCCGAUGAAAAACACUUUAAUUUGCUUACUCGAAAGGGCGUAUACCCUUACGAUUAUAUGUGUAACUGGGAACGAUAUAAAGAAAAGUGUUUGCCUCCCAAAGACUGUUUUUACAAUUCUCUUACCAAUGAACCGAUCUCAGAUGAGGAUUAUGAGCACGCUCAAUCAGUGUGGUUAAAAUUUUCAUUAACCAAUAUGGGUGAAUAUACUGAUUUGUACUUGAUAACAGAUGUACUUUUGUUGACAGAUAUCUAUGAAAAUUUCCGACUUACAUGUAAACAAUAUUACCAACUCGAUCCUGCAUUCUAUCUUACGGCUCCGAGUCUAUCAUUUGAUGCAAUGCUCCUUAAAACAGGCGUUCGUUUAGAACUUGUAACUGAUUUAGAAAUUUACCGUAUGAUACAGCAAGGUAUACGCGGUGGCGUUUGCAUGUGUUCUAAACGACAUGUUAAAGCAAAUCAUAAAUAUCUGGAAACAUUUGAUCCAUCUCACCCAAGUUCAUAUAUUGUUUACUUUGACUGUAACAAUUUAUAUGGAUACAGUAUGUGCCAAACAUUACCACAUUCAAACUUCAGAUUUGUGAACGAUUCUGAAUUAAAAACUUUAGAGUCGAAUAUUUUAAAUAUUAUGGAUGACUCUGAAAAUGGUUUUAUUCUUGAGGUGGACUUAUCGUACCCUUCACAUUUACAUGAUGAACAUAAUGAUUUUCCAUUUUGUCCUGAAAAAAUUAUUUCACCCAGAGGAAAAUCGAAAAAAUUAAUACCUAAUUUGUAUGAUAAAUACAAUUAUGUUAUUCAUUACGUACAUCUAAAAAAAUGCUUAGAACAUGGCUUGGUGUUGAAAAAGAUUCAUAGAGCUAUAACAUUUAAUCAAAGUAACUUUUUAAAAAAAUACAUAGAUCUCAACACCCAACUUCGCCAGAAAGCACAGUCUACUUUUGAACAAGAUUUUUUUAAAUUAUUAAACAACAGCAUAUUUGGAAAAACUUUGGAGAACACAGAACAACGAGUAGAUGUACGAUUGGUUAAUAAGUGGUCAGACAAAAAUAAUCUAACUAAAAAAUGUACUGGCGCAGAGACCUUAAUAGCAAGUCCCAAUUUCCAUAGUGCUUCAAUAUUCUCUGAGAAUUUGGUAGCUAUACAGAUGAAACAUUCACAGAUUGUGCUUGACAAACCAAUUUAUAUUGGUUUUGCUGUACUUGAACUCUCAAAAAGUCAUAUGUACGAUUUCCAUUACUCAAAAAUAAAACCAUUUUAUGGAAACCGCAUUAAGUUGUGCUAUACCGAUACUGAUAGCUUCGUAUAUAAUGUGCAUACAGAUGACAUUUACCAAGAUUUGAAGACUAACUUCUUAAAAUAUUUUGACACAAGCAAUUACAACCCAAAAAAUGAAUUUGGUUUACCUAUUGUUAAUAAAAAGAUUCCUGGUUUAUUCAAGGACGAAAUGGGUGGACAAAUAAUUAGAGAGUUUGUAGGAUUAAGGUCAAAGCUUUACUGUAUUAAAACCUUAAACAAAACAAUAAAAAAGGCGAAGGGUACCAAAAAAAAUGUAAUUAAUGGUUUGAGCGUAUCAGACUAUAAACAUGUGUUAUACAAUGGUGAUGUUGUUUACAAAAAAAAUGUUCUAUUUAAAUCAAUUAAACAUGAAAUUUUCACUCAAAAAGUAAAUAAAAUAGCUCUUUCUAGCAACGAUGAUAAGCGAUUGUUAGAAUCUGAUAAAGUGACUACCCUUGCUUGGGGUCAUAAAUCAAUUUUUGGCUGUACUGCUUAAGGUGAUUCUUUCAAGGUCAAUUGUUCUUCGCAGUGGGAGGAAUUGUAGUCGUUUAUGUAGCAGAUUCAUAAUCUAUUCGAAGAUUGCAAGCUCGUUUUUAAGAGAGAAAAGUAAAAAUACCUAUGUAACAAUUACCCCUGAAAGAAUCAUCCUUAGAACUCUUUGUUUGUAAAUACUUAGGUUAGUAUACUUUAUGUUGUAAGUAGGUACCUAUAAACAUAAAAAUAUAAUAUAAGAUGAUGACGAUUGUUAUAUAAAAAGUUAGCAGCAGUGGAGAAAAUAAAUAAGAAUAUGAUAUACAUAAUAGUUUCAUUUAUUCAUACCUACCAAAUCACCAGACAGGUAACUUAGACCUUCGUCACACUUGAUGGAAAUUAAGUCGUGGAUCUUCCGCAACGGAACGCCGAUACAAAUAUUUGUAUAAAAAUUACAAAUAGCAGGCACACACAGGCAGGUUAUUUACCGCAACGGAAGUUCGGCGUCGGAAUUUCCGCCAAGUGUGGCGAAGGUCUUACUGUUUCAACGAGUACCGACAUGUUGGAUACCUAAGUAUACUAUAUUGUCUUGCACAAUCAUUGAAAUUAAUCACCGUAGAUUCAAAAUUUAUAGGAUAAAAAGUAGCCUUUGCGUUAAUGCGGUAGCUAUGUGAUAUAUCUAGCUACCAAAUUUCAUCCGUUCAGCUCUUUAGGGGUUUCGCAUUUAUAACAUUAGUGUGAUGAAAUAAGUACUUAGAUAAAUACUUCCUUUAAUUAUAAUCGCUAGUCUCCAUUUUUCAUGUUUAAACUUGUUAACGUGAAAUACAACGCGACAAUGAAAACCUAAGCGAUUUUGAGUGUGCACGUGCGGUAACAUGAGAAGGCGCAUAUGUGCGGGGCAACGCGGCGACCGCGACGUUGCAUCAUAAUUUAUUUCAUUUCUAUUUCGCUUCUCGUUAGUGCAACACCUUCGAAAAUGUCCGCGUCCAUGCCGAAAAUGAGUUUUCUCGCUAUAGUGGGGGAUGAAGUCCCAAAAUUUACAGUAUCAAUACAAAUUCAUCGUCUUCGCCGAGAUGGAGAUAAGAUCAAAGAAAAAACUCUUGUGAGAAGUAUAUACGGCGCGCAUGAUAAAGAAGAUCGAGUGCUGGCAUCCGCGCUGUACUCAUGUUACCUGAUGUCAAAGGAGCUGGGUGAACAAGUUGAAACUUGUAGCUUAAAUAAGUAUGAACAGUUACUCGUGGAGAAAGACGUAGACACCGUUGACGGUUAAAAAUCAUCAUCAUAAUUUCGAAGGUGUAGCACUAAAAGCGGUGCCUGCUAAGUACUUUGAACAUGUCGAAUAAUUUAACAAACGUUAACGAAGAUGAUUUAUUCUACCCUUACGCGCAAGAUCCGCUUGCUGACUUCGAUGAAAGGUAUCCUGUUCAAGCGACUACCACAAAAUCGACGGCGCCUCAUGAUAACAAGAGUCAAAAGCUGAAAAGUGAUAAGAAGAAGAAGAGGAAGAUAAUUAAAUCUAAAGUUAAAUGCGGAAAAUGGAAGCAGUCAUCUUCAUUUGUGCAAAAUCGGAACGCGGAGAAAGCCACCAAGUUAAUUAAAAUCAGCAUAGUGGAUUUAGGUGCUUCAAAUACAAGUGAAAAUCAAGAAAAAAGUGAUGUUUUAGUGAAAGCCCAAUAUAUGGUAAAAGAUAGUUAUGAUGAUAUAUUGGGACAGACUGAAAAAUUAAUUAACAAUAUUUCAAAGACAUUGUGUAAUUACAGUACUUGUAUUUAUAUGUAACAUGCGAUUAUUUCAUAAAUAUGUUGGAAUCGCAUUUUCGUGUAUUCACAACACAGUAAAUUCCAUCGCAAAUAAAGUCUCUGACUAAUGUCAGAGUACUACAAGCUAUGGAAACAUUUAAUGUAUAUAGUAGAAAUAGUUAAUAUGGUAACUGUUAUUUCAAAAUAUAUUUUUUUAUCUAUUGUACUUUAAACAGUUUUAUGAACUUAAUAAAUAAAAUGUGUUUUUCAAA
rnacentral:lncRNA from 1 species